rnacentral:rRNA from 1 species
GAUGAACGCUGGCGGCGUGCCUAAUACAUGCAAGUCGAGCGAAUGGAUUAAGAGCUUGCUCUUAUGAAGUUAGCGGCGGACGGGUGAGUAACACGUGGGUAACCUGCCCAUAGGACUGGGAUAACUCCGGGAAACCGGGGCUAAUACCGGAUAAUAUUUUGAACUGCAUGGUUCAAAAUUGAAAGGCGGCUUCGGCUGUCACUUAUGGAUGGACCCGCGUCGCAUUAGCUAGUUGGUGAGGUAACGGCUCACCAAGGCAACGAUGCGUAGCCGACCUGGGAGGGUGAUCGGCCAAACUGGGACUGAGACACGGCCCAGACUCCUACGGGAGGCAGCAGUAGGGAAUCUUCCGCAAUGGACGAAAGUCUGACGGAGCAACGCCGCGUGAGUGAUGAAGGCUUUCGGGUCGUAAAACUCUGUUGUUAGGGAAGAACAAGUGCUAGUUGAAUAAGCUGGCACCUUGACGGUACCUAACCAGAAAGCCACGGCUAACUACGUGCCAGCCGCCGCUGUAA